AGAGUUUGAUCCUGGCUCAGGAUGAACGCUGGCGGCGUGCCUAAUACAUGCAAGUCGAACGAGUUCUCGUUGAUGAUCGGUGCUUGCACCGAGAUUCAACAUGGAACGAGUGGCGGACGGGUGAGUAACACGUGGGUAACCUGCCCUUAAGUGGGGGAUAACAUUUGGAAACAGAUGCUAAUACCGCAUAGAUCCAAGAACCGCAUGGUUCUUGGCUGAAAGAUGGCGUAAGCUAUCGCUUUUGGAUGGACCCGCGGCGUAUUAGCUAGUUGGUGAGGUAAUGGCUCACCAAGGCGAUGAUACGUAGCCGAACUGAGAGGUUGAUCGGCCACAUUGGGACUGAGACACGGCCCAAACUCCUACGGGAGGCAGCAGUAGGGAAUCUUCCACAAUGGACGCAAGUCUGAUGGAGCAACGCCGCGUGAGUGAAGAAGGCUUUCGGGUCGUAAAACUCUGUUGUUGGAGAAGAAUGGUCGGCAGAGUAACUGUUGUCGGCGUGACGGUAUCCAACCAGAAAGCCACGGCUAACUACGUGCCAGCAGCCGCGGUAAUACGUAGGUGGCAAGCGUUAUCCGGAUUUAUUGGGCGUAAAGCGAGCGCAGGCGGUUUUUUAAGUCUGAUGUGAAAGCCCUCGGCUUAACCGAGGAAGCGCAUCGGAAACUGGGAAACUUGAGUGCAGAAGAGGACAGUGGAACUCCAUGUGUAGCGGUGAAAUGCGUAGAUAUAUGGAAGAACACCAGUGGCGAAGGCGGCUGUCUGGUCUGUAACUGACGCUGAGGCUCGAAAGCAUGGGUAGCGAACAGGAUUAGAUACCCUGGUAGUCCAUGCCGUAAACGAUGAAUGCUAGGUGUUGGAGGGUUUCCGCCCUUCAGUGCCGCAGCUAACGCAUUAAGCAUUCCGCCUGGGGAGUACGACCGCAAGGUUGAAACUCAAAGGAAUUGACGGGGGCCCGCACAAGCGGUGGAGCAUGUGGUUUAA
rnacentral:rRNA from 1 species